UACGAAGGGGGCUAGCGUUGCUCGGAAUCACUGGGCGUAAAGGGUGCGUAGGCGGGUUUUUAAGUCAGAGGUGAAAUCCUGGAGCUCAACUCCAGAACUGCCUUUGAUACUGAAGAUCUUGAGUUCGGGAGAGGUGAGUGGAACUGCGAGUGUAGAGGUGAAAUUCGUAGAUAUUCGGAGGAACACCAGUGGCGAAGGCGGCUUACUGGUCCAUUACUGACGCUGAGGUGCGAAAGCGUGGGGAGCAAACAGG
rnacentral:rRNA from 1 species